CUGCAGAACAGUUGCCGCCCUGCCAAGUCCUCUGUGGAUUAGAGGCAGAUUGCAACUCACCUGGCCUACUAAUUCAGCAUAAGAUUUUACCAAAAGGCAACACUUUUGGUAGAGUCAUACCGAUAUUUAAGAGUGCUUAGAAAUCGGAGUGGGUUAGGAUAUCUAUCCUCCCCUUUAUAUUUAGCAUAAGAACAUUUCUUUGCCAAAGUCUGUUUCCAAAAUUUCAUCACUUUCGGAGAAAAGAAUAAACGACACACAGAGGAGAAGCGUGCAAUUGAGUGGAAAUAACGGAGCUGCAGCCUUCCUCCUCUUUGAUGCUACGGGAGAUUUAUUGGCUUCAAAACUCUUUUCACGCAUUUCUUAUCCCUUUUCCUCAGAGUUUUACGGACUACAUCGGGAAGCCGAUUUAAAAUCCUUGGCUCAAACCGAAAGAGUUGUCCUUGUAUAAGAAUUUCUCUUCCCACUGAAUGCCUCUUUACUCAGGUUCCAACAUAUGUGAACACAGUUAUCGGGGACAUUUCUAGCAGGGUAGCUAAACAACGAAUGAAAAGGAAAGACUUCAUGAUUUCACAACAUCUGUAGCUACUAUUCGUGUUUCAGCAAAUAGCUCUCGAUAAGAAGAGAUACCUACACAGAAAAUACCUGACGUCAGUGUGCGGUCCAUCCGUUGACAGCUGUUGUCUGGAGGAUCAUUAAUCAUUUUCCCUCUUAAUAAAUAUACUUUCAUGGCAUUUCAAAAUAGGAGUAGUAUACAGCUGUGGUUUUGAACCAUGAUUUAUGACCAAAUUUUUUGUCGGUCAUUUAGAAAAUUCCUGGUACCUCUGUGAUUACAAGCACUAUUGUGGGGAAAAAGCUGAAUUGGAUGCACAUUCUCAUUUAUUUAUUCCAGUCUGCUCUUGGAGCUAGAAUUGCUGGUUCACACAUUUAAGGUCUUUUGAUCCAUGAUGCUAAAUAGACAAUUUGUAUUCCCACCAACAGCCCAUUUUCAUCCGUAGUCUUCUGCUCCGAGUGUCAUCAUUUUAUAGCCAUUUUUUUUUCAUUUUAUGGGCAAAUCUGGUAUCUUGUUUAAUUUACUUUUCAUGCAUGAAUAAUUAGGCUGGAUAUUUUUCCAGCCUAAUCAUUUUUUGAUCACUGGAAUCUUAGCUUUCUCCUCAUGUCCUUGCCUGCUUUUCUGGCCAAGAAUCAAGACCUCUGACAUGGAUCCGUGCUCCUUCCCCUCAGGCCUUCAGUGUGGUCGAUUCUGCUUGUCAGAGCAGACACUUCUGAUGCUUCGCGGCCUCCUGCUCAACUCCUACACACCCAAGAAGCAGACAGGGCCAGUCCUGGAGUCCGUACUGUGGUGGAGAUUGAAACUGUGGGCCUUACUGUGGACAGAUCCCUACGCUGCGGCCAUUUUUGUAGCGGACUCCCUCAGGAGUCUUCCAGGAAAGCACUCUAAUAAGCUAAUCACGCUGAUGUCUAAUGACUCUCAUAACUUACUAUCUUUUCCUGAGUUAUUUGCAUUUAAAUGGAGAAACCUGAGGCAAUUGCUACUUAAUGUGCCCUGUCAAACCAGGGAGAAGAACCUAUUUGGGGGCCUGGAGUCUUCCUGCCCCAGAAAUCACACCGCAGAAGCCCACCUGCUCCGUCUAUGGGUGAUCCUGAGUUCUCAACUGUCUUGACAUAAAACCAGCAAUAGUGGUAUGAACAUGUACAAUAUAAGGCCAGAGGGAAAUA